rnacentral:rRNA from 1 species
GAUGAACGCUGGCGGCGUGCCUAAUACAUGCAAGUCGAGCGAACAGACGAGGAGCUUGCUCCUCUGACGUUAGCGGCGGACGGGUGAGUAACACGUGGAUAACCUACCUAUAAGACUGGGAUAACUUCGGGAAACCGGAGCUAAUACCGGAUAAUAUAUUGAACCGCAUGGUUCUAUAGUGAAAGACGGUUUUGCUGUCACUUAUAGAUGGAUCCGCGCCGCAUUAGCUAGUUGGUAAGGUAACGGCUUACCAAGGCAACGAUGCGUAGCCGACCUGAGAGGGUGAUCAGCCACACUGGAACUGAGACACGGUCCAGACUCCUACAGGAGGCAGCAGUAGGGAAUAUUCCGCAAUGGGCGAAAGCCUGACAGAGCAACGCCGCGUGAGUGAAGAAGGUCUUCGGAUCGUAAAACACUGUUAUUAGGGAGGAACAAAUGUGUAAGUAACUAUGCACGUCUUGACGGUACCUAAUCAGAAAGCCACGGCUAACUACGUG